UACAGAGGUCUCAAGCGUUGUUCGGAUUCAUUGGGCGUAAAGGGUGUGUAGGUGGCGCGCUAAGUCGGGUGUGAAAUUUCGGAGCUUAACUCCGAAACUGCAUUUGAUACUGCCUUGCUUGAGGACUGGAGAGGAGACUGGAAUUCACGGUGUAGCAGUGAAAUGCGUAGAGAUCGUGAGGAAGACCAGUGGCGAAGGCGGGUCUCUGGACAGUUCCUGACACUGAGGCACGAAGGCCAGGGGAGCAAACGGG
rnacentral:rRNA from 1 species